AUGAACGCUAGCGGCAGGCUUAACACAUGCAAGUCGAGGGGCAGCACGAGGUAGCAAUACUUUGGUGGCGACCGGCGCACGGGUGCGUAACGCGUAUGCAACCUACCUUUAACAGGGGCAUAACACUGAGAAAUUGGUACUAAUUCCCCAUAACAUUCGAGAAGGCAUCUUCUUGGGUUAAAAACUCCGGUGGUUAAAGAUGGGCAUGCGUUGUAUUAGCUAGUUGGUGAGGUAACGGCUCACCAAGGCAACGAUACAUAGGGGGACUGAGAGGUUAACCCCCCACAUUGGUACUGAGACACGGACCAAACUCCUACGGGAGGCAGCAGUGAGGAAUAUUGGUCAAUGGACGCAAGUCUGAACCAGCCAUGCCGCGUGCAGGAAGACGGCUCUAUGAGUUGUAAACUGCUUUUGUACUAGGGUAAACGCUCUUACGUGUAGGAGCCUGAAAGUAUAGUACGAAUAAGGAUCGGCUAACUCCGUGCCAGCAGCCGCGGUAAUACGGAGGAUCCAAGCGUUAUCCGGAUUUAUUGGGUUUAAAGGGUGCGUAGGCGGUUUGAUAAGUUAGAGGUGAAAUACCGGGGCUCAACUCCGGAACUGCCUCUAAUACUGUUGAACUAGAGAGUAGUUGCGGUAGGCGGAAUGUAUGGUGUAGCGGUGAAAUGCUUAGAGAUCAUACAGAACACCGAUUGCGAAGGCAGCUUACCAAACUAUAUCUGACGUUGAGGCACGAAAGCGUGGGGAGCAAACAGGAUUAGAUACCCUGGUAGUCCACGCAGUAAACGAUGAUAACUCGUUGUCGGCGAUACACAGUCGGUGACUAAGCGAAAGCGAUAAGUUAUCCACCUGGGGAGUACGUUCGCAAGAAUGAAACUCAAAGGAAUUGACGGGGGCCCGCACAAGCGGUGGAGCAUGUGGUUUAAUUCGAAGCAACGCGAAGAACCUUACCUGCUCUUGACAUCCCGGUGACCGGACAGUAAUGUGUCCUUUUCUUCGGAACACCGGUGACAGGUGGUGCAUGGUUGUCGUCAGCUCGUGUCGUGAGAUGUUGGGUUAAGUCCCGCAACGAGCGCAACCCUUGUCUUUAGUAGCCAGCAGUUCGGCUGGGCACUCUAGAGAGACUGCCAGGGUUAACCUGGAGGAAGGCGGGGAUGACGUCAAAUCAUCAUGCCCCUUACGAGCAGGGCUACACACGUGCUACAAUGGCGUAAACAAAGGGAAGCGAAAGAGUGAUCUGGAGCAAACCCCAAAAAUAACGUCUCAGUUCGGAUUGUAGUCUGCAACUCGACUACAUGAAGCUGGAAUCGCUAGUAAUCGCGAAUCAGCAUGUCGCGGUGAAUACGUUCCCGGGCCUUGUACACACCGCCCGUCAAGCCAUGGAAGCUGGGGGUGCCUGAAGUUCGUGACCGCAAGGAGCGACCUAGGGCAAAACCGGUGACUGGGGCU
rnacentral:rRNA from 1 species